AGGGGGUGAUCUACGUCGCCGUGGGGAUGAAGAUCUGCGGUGUCGCUGUUGCACAGGAGAAGGUGAUCUACGUCGCAUGGGAGGUGGUGAUCUUCGUCGUAGAGGUGAUGGAGACCUACGGCGCACAGGCAAUGGGGAUUUACGACGUAUAGGUGAAGGAGAUCUGCGACGCACAGGGGAACGAGAUCCAUGGAGCAUAGGUGAGGGAGACCUACGACGCCGUACAAGAGAUGGUGAUCUGCGACGUCGAAUGGACAAUGGUGAUCUACGACGUGUAAUAGGUGAUGGUGAUCUAUAACGUCGGAUGGGUGAACGAGAUCUACGGUGCACAGGUGUAGGUGACCUGCGCCGAUAAGGAGAACGAGAUCUACGGCGCACAGGUGUAGGUGACCCGCGCCGAUAAGGAGAACGAGACUGAGAUCUACGCCUAGAGUAAGAUGGUCUUCGUCUUUCAGGAGACCUUCGCCUGUAAUAAGAUGGUCUUCGUCUUACAGGAGAGCGUGAGAAGGAAGGUGAAUGCCUGGAUCGAG
rnacentral:lncRNA from 1 species